AGAAGAAAUUGCAAUUGUGUCUGUUUAUUAGGUACAGACAUUUACUCCCCUCCCGAGUGGUACAGGCGCAGUUGCUACAGGUGUGGACCCACCACGGUAUGGCAAAUGGGAGUGGUUCUGUACGAAGCGCUUCAUGUGGGGGACUUUAACACCACCAGCUUCCUCAAAAAGCGCCUGAAAUUCAAAAGCCGUCUGUCUAAACACUGCCGGGAUUUCUUGGACGCGUGUUUAACCAGAGUCCCAGAGAUGCGGCCGACGUUGGAGGACCUCCAGCAUCACGCUUGGCUGAGAUAAACCCAUCACACACACACACAAACACACGCAAUUCAGACGUUAUCAUGUAUGUGUGAUAUAUGAGGUAACUUUCUUGUUUUCUGUUUGACAGGAAAUAAUUUUUUUAAUUGCCCUAUUUUAAACUUUGGUGUUUUGGAAUUCCUGUAACCCCCCCAGCCAUCCCAGGAAAGGGGAUCUCUCUUUGAAUGGGCUUUCCCGAGGUUUCUUCCCGUCAAUCUGGCCCCCCCAGGGGAGUUUUUCCUCGUCUUCAUAGAGAGCUUGGGCUGGGUCAGGAGCUCCAUCAAAACUGUCUUUAGUUGAUUAUUUUAAGGUAAUCAUAUUCUUUAAAGUAAUCAAAUAAAAAACAGUAAAAAUCUGAAGACUUGAAGUAAACUUUCAUUCAAAUAAAACUUGUUUAAUUCAUCUUUGCUGAGGAUACUGUGUUAUUACUAUUUCAAGGAUUGUAUUUUACCCACGAUGCAUUUUGACAAGUAAGAAAAUUAAAAGGUAAAUCAGGUUCAGGUAUAUACAAAGAAAGUCACACUGCCACUGCUCUGAAGACUUGCAUCUGUUGCCCUAACCCCCAACCAGUCUUGACAGAUUUCCUGGUUCUAGCAGAGGUUGCAGCAGUUGGGUGGGAUUUAAUAAACUUUUGGGGCAGUAUGUGGGGUUCCGAUCACCAUAUUUAGCAGUGUGUAGUGUCUGCGUGGCGCUCAGCGGUGAUGCGGGGUUGUCCGACACUGACUCCGAGUGGGAGGAGACUCACUAGGGCCUUACAAGAAGGCCCUGCCGGUUCCGAUGAUUUGCCCCACAGAAGAUUUUCCACUGGGACAGUCUCGGGAUGACACCUUACGCUCAGCCUUUGACAAAGUGAUAGAAAUUGAUGAUCACUUCCUUCCUACCCGCGCUUUGUGCUAUUGAAUGAUACUAACAGAAAAAAAUACAGUUAACACUGACUUAAUAAAAAAAAGUAUUAUAUUUUAUCUCAGAUUUGAUCAUCAGUACACACACACUGUUUUUAUCCCUUUAACUUUUUUGGUUAAUCAGUUGAUAUAAUAAGAAAGUUAAAUAUACAAUAAUAAAUACUUUAAAUUAGAGCUGGGCGAUAUAAGAUUUUUUCAUAUCACGAUAUGUUUUUUUCAUUUCAGGCGAUAACGAUAUAUAUCACGAUAUAAGCCAAAUAACUAUAUUUGUAAGAUUUAAAUGUGCAGUUGCUCACAAGUAAAAUGUGAAAUAAUUAGCAGCUUGUUUUAAUUAAAAUAUUUAUUUCCCAUAAUAAGUUCAACAGGGCAGAUGUACUUAAGGAACAUCAGACUUCAGUUCCAGAUAAAUAAAGGCAAAUAUUGCAAACUACACAAAAGGUAGCCGCUAAAGCGUUUAAGUUUCAAAAUAGAACAAACAAAACACACCACUAAAUUGUCAAUUUCACUUAGAAAGAAAAUAUU
rnacentral:lncRNA from 1 species